rnacentral:rRNA from 1 species
AACGAACGCUGGCGGCGUGGAUAAGACAUGCAAGUCGAACGAUUACUAUUGGGUAGCAAUAUUCGGUAGUGAAAGUGGCGCAAGGGUGCGUAACACGUGGGUAAUUUGCCGUAAAGUCUGGGACAACUUGCUGAAAGGCGAGCUAAUACCGGAUGUGAUUUCUGGAAGGCAUCUUCUGGAACUUAAAGUCGGGGACCGUAAGGCCUGACACUUUUCGAUAAGCCCGCGGCCUAUCAGCUAGUUGGUGAGGUAACGGCUCACCAAGGCUAAGACGGGUAGCUGGUCUGAGAGGACGACCAGCCACACUGGAACUGAGACACGGUCCAGACACCUACGGGUGGCAGCAGUCGAGAAUUUUUCUCAAUGGGGGAAACCCUGAAGGAGCGACGCCGCGUGGGGGAUGAAUGGCUUCGGCCCGUAAACCCCUGUCAUUUGCGAUCAAACCUUACGACCUAACACGUCGUAAGCUGAUAGUAGCGGAAGAGGAA